GGAAGCAACAAUAUCUGAGUACAGACAUAAGUUAAACAAGGAUGCCUUAAGAAGGCUAGCACAAAAGCAACAACGAUCGAAGAGGCAAGGCCUCCUGCCUGGGACCUCCUAACUACUCCUAGCCGUCGGCGGUCUUCACGUAGCAGCAUCCAUCGGCGGUGGCAUCUGGCUCCAGGGAUCCACCAUCUGGUUGCAUCAACCGGAAAGAAGAAGGAAGGGGGAAAAGGGGUAGCAAAGCAACCGUGAGUACUCAUCCAAAGUACUCGCAAGCAUCAGAUCUAUACUAAGUAUGCAUUGGUAUCAAAUGGAAGGUUUGUAUCUAUGGACUGAACUGCAAAAUGCCAGAAUAGAGGGGGAAGGCCUAGCCUAUCGAAGACUAGCAUCUUCACGCAGCUCCGAGCAUCUUGCAGCAUGUAGAAGAGUAAAGAAUAGCAGUUUAUAUUUAACAAGCAUGUUGUAACAUUAAUGCCUAGAGAUCCUUCCUCGACUCCCUGCGAGAAAGCAAUCCCGGAGCCAUAUAACUUAAGUAUCCAUUUCUAGUUGUAUUAGAUCAAGAUAUAAGUCUGAACGUCCAUUACCGUGGACACGGUAUUCGAAUAAAGAGAUUCCCUGCAGGGGUGCACCACGUUUUCCGACACGCUCGAUCACUUUGGCCGGACACACCUUUCUGGGGUCAAUGCCCUGCCUCGGAAGAUCAACACGUUGCAGCCCGACCUAGGCUCAGCAGAGAGGUCCCCACCGGUCUACAUCCUAAGCACUCCGGGGUCUGGGCCCAUCGCCUGUUGCACUCCGGAUCGUUGUGUGCAGGGUGGAUACCAGCACCACCCUUGUAGUGGAUGGCACGAUCCGACCGUGCCACAAUGCUGAACUGGACAUCUGACAAAGCCUCGGCUGAUACCACGACGUCGAGGCCCAUAACUAUUCUCGCGUGGUGGUUGGUGCGAAAAGGCCAAAGGCCAAUUCAGAACAAAUACCCAAACCAUAGUGUAUUAUUAGCUCGCGGAGACGAGCAGAGACUCAUGAUAAGGUGACCCCAUCGCCCCAUCUCGAGGAAAUACGGCAAGGGCAAGCCCAGCCCACUCGAGGGCUGCCAGACUUUCCGGCCGUGCCUCGUAACCAUCUUGCGGGUGCUCUCCGGGCCCGCCCGACUUUCCCAAAGGUCUCAAGUAAUGUCAAGGUAACCAUGUGUCCAAACAUCAAGGGGAAAACCAAAGGAAUCACCCUCGGAGGAUUCCACUCGAUGUAAUCAUCAAGGUGAACGUAAGAGGAACCACCCUCGAGGUUCACACUUGAGGGGUUGCACGACAGAGCCGUACCGGGAAUUGGAAGGAGGAAAUCACCCUCGAUGACCACGACCGAAUAGCUACACUACAGAGAUCUCAUCAGGAGUGCGUUAUGAGGGAUCACCCUCGGCACUCGACAGUAGCUCUACAGAGUCGAGCAACAAAAGGGGCGUGAUGUGAUGUGAGGUAUCAGGCUCUGGUCGUCGAUCACGUUGAUCGAGUCGUCGAUGAUGAAGCAGGGGCAGCAAGGACGAGGUGGGGGUCACUGAUGGAUCACUAACCAACCUAUACUAAGCAGUUUAGGAUAAGUAGGUAAGGUACAACAGCAGAUACAAAGGCAGGCUAUGCAUCAGAAUAGGAGCAAACAAUAAUAGUAGCAAAAUCUAAUGCAAGCAUGAGAGUAUAGAAUGGGCGAUAUCGGGAUGAUCAAAGGGGGGGCUUGCCUGGUUGCUCAGACAAGGAGGGUCGUCGUCGAUGUAGUCGAUCACAGGGACAUCAGCAUCGGUCUCGGGGUCUACCGGAGAGAAGAGGGGGAAGAAACAGUAAAUACAUAGCAGACAAGUGCAUAACAAGAAAAUAAGUGAGGCUAGAAGUGUUCUAACGCAGUGCUAGGCGGUACUGGCGAAGGGGGGAACAUCCGGGAAAGUUUUCCCGGUUCCGGACGUCUGUCAAACAGAUGAACUGGAGGGGAAAAGUUGCAUGUUUUCUAUGCUAGGGAUGUGUGGCGGGCGAACAGUUCGCGUAGUCGGAUUCGUUUCGCCGUUCUGAGCAACUUUCAUGUAUAAAACUUUUUCAUUCGAGCUACGGUUUAAUUUCUAUGAAUUAUUAAAGUUUUAUUAUUAUUCUGAAAUUAAGCUUAAUACGAAAAUAAAUGCUAAAAUGCUAGGCGCACCCAGCAUAGCGCACACAAAAGUGCACAUAGUGGCUGACAGGUGGGCCAGGGGGUCCCAGUUGACCAGUCAACAUUUGACUGGUCAACAGGGGGUGGGGCCCCCUGUCAUAGACUCAUCUAACUAAUUAACAGUUUUAAUUAACUAAUCUAGUUCAUUAGGUUAAUUAAGAUUAAUUAAUUAAGUUAAACAAUCAUUUAACUAAUUAAUUAAUUGUUUUUAUUAAUAUAUUUUUAACACAUUUCUUUUUAGAAAAGGGGCUGGUGGGUCCCGCUGGCAGUGGCCCAUAGAGCCAAUCUGGCAACGGGCGAACGGGCACAGGGGCGUGGAAGUGGGCGCCCGUACCCGAGGAGGGGGCGAACCCGAGCGAGGCGGGACGCUGGCGCUGGGCGCUGCCCGGGGCGUGGUUGCCGACGAUGAGGGGAGCCGCCGGAUGGACUAGUGGAGGAGGGAUGCGGCAGCGGUAGUGCGGCAGGGGAGAGCGGGGUGAGCGCGGGCGCCGGCUCCAAGCGCGGCCAGCCGGGGCCUCGGUGAGCAUCGACGAAGCACUGGGGCGAAGGGGAGAGCACGAUGGGCGGCUGUACGGGGCGAGGGGGAAAGAGGAGGCCGGGGGGCCUCACCAGCGUUGGAGAGUAGGGGGCGUCGAGGCGUCGGAGCGCCCGAUGGGGAGGAGGACGAAGACGAGGCGACGCCGACGAGGUGGUGGUGAGCAUCGAUGGCACGGCGUCAAGGCUCGGCGCGCCGCGGCGUCGAGCCGCCGAUCCAGUCCGCGUCGAGGGGAGGCACCGCACGGGAGGAGACGGAGAGGCGGGCGUCGGCGCUGGAGAGGCGGGGCGGGGCGCGAGGGGCCGGGCCCCUGAGCACGGGCAGGUGCCCAGAUCGAGCGGGGGGAGGGGCGGAGCGCUGCCCUGAUCCAAAUCGGGGGAAAGGGGUGAGAGGCGUGGGGGGGAAGCGAGUGGGGGGAGUGGGGAUCGGUUAGGGUUUCGGGUGGCAAGGGGGCCAUAUAGGCCAGGGAGGUGCGGGGUAGGCCGGCCUGGUUGGUCCAAGGCCAGCUGGGCCGGUUAGCCUAGUGGGGGCCUUUCUUUUCUUUCUUUUUGAAACUUCUUUGUUUCUUUUAGUUUCAAAAGGCAAAACAGUUUUAUAAAAUACAAAACUUGAACCUAAAUUAUUAUUAUAAUUUAGAUUACUGCCACAAUUAGUUUGGUAGUUAAAUAAAUUAGCUCAACAUUUUUAUAAAACAAAAGGCAUUUAAACAAUGUUUUAACCAUUGUUUUCAAUUUGUUUAGGGCAUUUAAACACUUUGCAAAAAUGUUGGUUCACCACCAAUAGUGCCAAAAGGAUAUUUGCCACAUGAUGAACAUUUUAGUUUUUCAUGUUUGGCAAUUUGAAUUUUGGACUUUUGAUUUGAAUUUGAUUUUGGAUUGCGAUUUGGAUCAAUCAAGGAUUAGCAUAGUAAGAGUGGUGACGUGGCACUAUUAACUUGGGAUUACUGUAGCUUAAUUAUCCGGGCGUCACAAUUCUCCUCCACUACAAGAAAUCUCGUCCCGAUAUUUAAGGUGUGUAGUAGGGGGAAAGACUCGAAAAGGACGGGGCUCAACACAAGAUAGGUACCUGGGGGCAAUCUCGCUACGUGGCAUAGAGGCAUCUCUCGAGUUGAAAUUCAAGAAAGUCAUCGAGAGCAAGGUAAGGAGGAGCAAUAAGAAGCUUCAAGCGGAUGGACAAUCGUUCGAUGUCUGAAACAGAGUGUGAAAGGGGUCCAGCGCAUCGAAAAUAAGUAUUGCAUCUGAUAGCAGAACAGAUCAAAAUAAGGUGGCUCGUGAAUUACAUACGAAGCCAAGCGUGAGGAAAAAUUUAGGAAGACAGAGAUGUACAGGAGAGUCAGGUUUCGUUCUUGGGACCUGUGGGUUAUGGGCCCACCAUGUGGGUUAAAAGCAAGAAGGCGUUACAUUUUGCAUGGUCAUGAUAGCAAGGCAGGUCAGAGGACAUCUUGUCAGUUAUGUUGGCAACAACGUUGGUACCAAGGGCGAGGGACAAAGAGAACCAUUUUCCUGCUCGUUAAGACGAGGCAGACCAAUAGGCAAAGUUCUCGUCCAUCGGUGGCUACCAGAAUGUCAUCAUCAAUAGUAACAAGGUCUUACUGACAGAGUUGUACACCGAGGUGUUUACAUAAGCAGGAAUUUAUCACUGCUCAGAUAUGAUAGGUUGCAAGAAAGGUUAAACAUAGCAAUAGAGACCUGAAUCAAUUACCGGUGUUCUCGAGUGUCUAACAACUCAGAACCCGUGGAAAAUUUGAAUCGGUGAGAAUAAUAGUUGAUGAAAAACUCAUAAGAAGUUAUGCAGUUUCGAGAUAUUCUCGAGAUACCAGAAGGUAACACUCGAGGGUAUAGCAGAACAGAGGUUGGAUGGGUGAAAUGAUCUACAGAAGACAAGUACUUCCACUUGUUCGAGAAAUUAAAUCAAAGAAGAACAAUUAGGGUUGGAACCACAGUUGCAAAGGACCAAAUAUAGAUAACAGAUGAAGUUAUCCAAGGGGAUUAUUAUUAUAACAAGAAGCUUCCAUGAUAAGUUCCACGUCAGGUCCAUGGGCACGAACACAAGGUUCAAGGUCGACUCCCAUUUCUCUAAUGCAUAACUAUCCAUUUACUUCUCGUCUUCGACAAAGUUGUAGAGUCAAACUUCACUAGUAAAUAACUCAAGCUCGGAGUAGAGCAUGAUUGAGGAAGCAGGAGAUACAAUUUACCAAAGGCAUUAUGUAUCCGAGGAAAAGCUCACAAGGUUACGGUAUAUGAAGGACGAUGUCGAAUAGAACCCCACAAAGGAUCUGGUGGUUCACAAGGGAUCUGAUGUGAGCAUCGGUACUCAACCGAAAGAAGAAAGAAUGCAGGGAUAUUAGAUUAUAGAAACAACUGACUAAUUCUAAGCUCGAAUGCAAAGGGGAUUAUGAUUUCCAAAAUCAAGGAAUCAGAAGCAAACGCUCUGAUUAAGUAUGGAUAAGUCGAAAAGGAGUUAGGGGUACAAUCGACAGCAAAUUGAUUGGUCGAGAAACAGCUCAUGUUCGGGAAGACGUCUGAGCCGAAAAGAUAAUUUAUAAGGACCAACUGAGGAUUGCAUGCAUUCGCACACAUGUUGAAACAAGAGGAUCAUAAUAAAAACCACAAAAUAAUUUUCUUGACUAUUGUUGGGCAUAUGGAAGUAACCAUAAUGUAAGCAGAUAAGAAGGAACAAGCGCAAUAGACUACUAAGGAUUUUUUUGGAAGAACGAAUAGCAUUCCAAAGAAUGUUGUGAAAUACAUGAACAACUGUGGACGAACGGAUACUCGGCAAGCGCGAGUAAUUGUCCAUAGGGGUAUUCAUGCGGAAAGUAAAUGCAGGGUAAUAAGCAUAAAGAAUUGUCGGAACAUCAAAGAGUAUUUCAGGACAUCUUGUAAUAACAAGAGCAACUGGGGAUGAAGGUAUGAACGACAACAUAGGUAGUUACGCAUAAGGAUUUAUCGGUGGUAGGGACCGCAACGGCGAAGGGUACGAGGGACUCGGUAAAACAUCGGAGAGUAUCUUUAAAAUCUUCUGGUGAAGCGGGCCAUCAUUUGGAAUGAAGGGGCUCUCCGGGAGAAGUAUUUACGAGAACCUAGAGUUAUAGUUUGUAAAACCAUUUAACCCGAAUAGAAGAGAGAUUAGAGUCCUAGAGUAUAGACGAGGAAUAAAAGAUCCUAAUACCACCCAAUUGGCGACGUGGGCCCAUAAGCCACACAGCCAUGUUAGUAAAACCGUUUUUCAAAUGCUAGACUCAACUUCGGCCAAGGAGUUGGAAAGGGGGAUCCUACAGGCAGUCGGCUCUGAUACCAACUUGUGACGCCCCCGACUCAAAUGUACACUAAUCAUACACGCAAAUGUGUACGAUCAAGAUCAGGGACUCACGGGAAGAUAUCACAACACAACUCUAGACACAAAUAAAAUAGUACAAGCUUUAUAUUACAAGCCAGGGGCCUCGAGGGCUCGAAUACAAGCUCGAUACACAAGAGUCAGCGGAAGCAACAAUAUCUGAGUACAGACAUAAGUUAAACAAGGAUGCCUUAAGAAGGCUAGCACAAAAGGAACAACGAUCGAAGAGGCAAGGCCUCCUGCCUGGGACCUCCUAACUACUCUUGGCCGUCGGCGGUCUUCACGUAGCAGCAUCCAUCAGCGGUGGCAUCUGGCUCCAGGGAUCCACCAUCUAGUUGCAUCAACCGGAAAGAAGAAGGAAGGGGGAAAAGGGGUAGCAAAGCAAACGUGAGUACUCAUCCAAAGUACUCGCAAGCAUCAGAUCUAUACUAAGUAUGCACUGGUAUCAAAUGGAAGGUUUGUAUCUGUGGACUGAACUGCAGAAUGCCAGAAUAGAGGGGGAAGGCCUAGCCUAUCGAAGACUAGCAUCUUCACGCAGCUCCGAGCAUCUUGCAGCAUGUAGAAGAGUAAAGAAUAGCAG
rnacentral:lncRNA from 1 species